CUGCACAAGGAUAGGAUAACUACAACCCUUCGUAGCGCCGAAACUACGCCACCCUCGACAUUUUGCAAGAGGAACUAUCGUCUCAGAAUGACUUCAGGAAUCUACCCUGAACCGGUGAUUCGACUACCUUAUAACACUUUCAUUGCUAGGGAUUAGUUGAAUACCAUUGAUUUUGUUUAUCGCUACUGCUUCAUGUACCACUGCAUUGAUUAAUGUGCAGUGUACAAUUAGAUAAGCUGGUGGAUUCUGUUUCUACAUACUACAUCAAACGUAUUCAACCGGAGGAGAACUCAUCUCAUUUUGGCAAUUAUUAGUGAUAAUUGCAAAAAAUAUUAAUACUUGGGCAAAAUAUGCGGACGCAGCAGUUGGUUUAAUUGUUUAACCGGUAUCGUACUCUGAAUAGUCAUAUAUCAGACCAGAUUGGCAGUUCAACAGACAUCCCUCAAGUUUCUUCAGCAGGAAGUGAUAAAGGUAUGACGGUAUCAAGUUAGAAUAUAUUACCGGACCAUUGGAUAUGAGAUUACCAAACAUGAUAGAAAAAUUACUCAAACGGACUUAUGCUUAGCUUUCUACGAAAUUUCUUCUGCGUUUUUCUACAAUGUUUGUAUAAGAAAACGUAUUAUUAAUGCGCGAACGCAAUCUGAUAACACGUUGUUAUCAAUGUGAUGUAACGGGUGAUAAGGAUUGAUCCAGAAUGUCGUCGCUACUUAGACAAAUCUCGCGUCUGACCCGGGAUUCACACAGCGUCCGAUUUCCAAUAGGAAAAUUUGUUUUAUAUAAAGCAAAUUCUUCUAUUGGAUAUCGGACGGAAAUCGGACGCUGUGUGAAUCCUGCCUUACAGUUCUGCUGCGCAACCGUACGUCUUCCGUGUUAAUGUUGUUACCAUAUUUUACAUAUGUUUAUUUUUGAGAAAAUACCGCAUCCGCACGGUUUAUAUAUGUCAGUCGAUCAUUAUGCCAUGUUCCGCAGAUAUAUAGAUUCGAUAAAAAAAUUUUAUUUUCAUAUAUGUAUAAGUUAUGUAUAACUCUUUAAGUAUACAAUAAUUAU